GACGAACGCUGGCGGCGUGCUUAACACAUGCAAGUCGAACGGAAAGGCCCUGCUUUUGUGGGGUGCUCGAGUGGCGAACGGGUGAGUAACACGUGAGUAACCUGCCCUUGACUUUGGGAUAACUUCAGGAAACUGGGGCUAAUACCGGAUAGGAGCUCCUGCUGCAUGGUGGGGGUUGGAAAGUUUCGGCGGUUGGGGAUGGACUCGCGGCUUAUCAGCUUGUUGGUGGGGUAGUGGCUUACCAAGGCUUUGACGGGUAGCCGGCCUGAGAGGGUGACCGGCCACAUUGGGACUGAGAUACGGCCCAGACUCCUACGGGAGGCAGCAGUGGGGAAUAUUGCACAAUGGGCGGGAGCCUGAUGCAGCAGCGCCGCGUGCGGGAUGACGGCCUUCGGGUUGUAAACCGCUUUCGCCUGUGACGAAGCGUGAGUGACGGUAAUGGGUAAAGAAGCACCGGCUAACUACGUG
rnacentral:rRNA from 1 species